ensembl:rRNA 5S_rRNA 5S ribosomal RNA
GUCUGUGGCCAUACCAUCCUGAAUGUACCUGGUCUCAUAUGAUCUCAGAAACUAACAGGGCUGGACAUUAUUGAUUCUGGAUGGGAGAAGAUCAGCUACAGUAA